UGCGUAGGGUGCAAGCGUUGUCCGGAAUUAUUGGGCGUAAAGAGCUCGUAGGCGGUGUGUCACGUCGAUCGUGAAAACUUACAGCUUAACUGUGAGCGUGCGGUCGAUACGGGCAUCACUGGAGUUCGGCAGGGGAGACUGGAAUUCCUGGUGUAGCGGUGAAAUGCGCAGAUAUCAGGAGGAACACCGGUGGCGAAGGCGGGUCUCUGGGCCGAUACUGACGCUGAGGAGCGAAAGCGUGGGGAGCGAACAGG
rnacentral:rRNA from 1 species